rnacentral:rRNA from 1 species
UACGUAGGGGGCAAGCGUUGUCCGGAAUCAUUGGGCGUAAAGAGCGUGUAGGCGGCCCGAUAAGUCCGCCGUGAAAGCCCAGGGCUCAACCCUGGGAUGCCGGUGGAUACUGUCGGGCUAGAAUCCGGAAGAGGCGAGUGGAAUUCCUGGUGUAGCGGUGAAAUGUGUAGAGAUCGGGAGGAACACCGGUGGCGAAGGCGGGUCUCUGGGCAAUUCCUGACGCUGAGGCGCGAAAGCGUGGGGAGCAAACGGG